rnacentral:rRNA from 1 species
UACGUAGGGACCAAGCGUUGUUCGGAUUUACUGGGCGUAAAGGGCGCGUAGGCGGCGUGGUAAGUCACUUGUGAAAUCUCUGAGCUUAACUCAGAACGGUCAAGUGAUACUGCUGUGCUAGAGUGCGGAAGGGGCAAUCGGAAUUCUUGGUGUAGCGGUGAAAAUGCGUAGAUAUCAAGAGGAACACCUGAGGUGAAGACGGGUUGCUGGGCCGGUACUGACGCUGAGGCACGAAAGCGUGGGGAGCAAACAGG